GAUGAACGCUAGCGGCAUGCUUAAUACAUGCAAGUCGGACGGGCAGUGGUGUUUCCUGUGUCGGACGGGUGAGCAACGCGUAGGAACGUACCCCGGGGAGAAGCUCAACAGCUGGAUACGGCUGCUAAUACCCAGUAUUCCUAGUAGCAAAAAAAAAAAUCCGCCGGAGGAGGGACUCGUGUCAGAUUAGCUAGCUGGUGAGACAAUAGCUUACCACGGCGAUGAUCAGAAUCAUGUGCGAUAGGAUUAUGAGCCACACUGGGACUGAGACACUGCCAAGAAACCUACGCGAAGCAGCAGAGGGCAAUACUUCGAAAUGCGGGAAAGCCUGAGGGAGCAAUGGGGCGUGAAGAUAGAAGGGUUACGGGAAGUGAACUUCUUUAGGCGGAGAACAAAAAAUGACGGUAUCUAGGGAGUAAGCAUCGGCUAACUCUGUG
rnacentral:rRNA from 1 species